rnacentral:rRNA from 1 species
GGAGUUAGCCGGUGCUUCUUCUGUGAGUGAUGUCCUUCCUGCCGGCUAUUAACCCGCAGGCCUUCUUCCUCACUGAAAGUGCUUUACAACCCGAAGGCCUUCUUCACACACGCGGCAUGGCUGGAUCAGGGUUGCCCCCAUUGUCCAAUAUUCCCCACUGCUGCCUCCCGUAGGAGUCUGGGCCGUGUCUCAGUCCCAGUGUGGCUGAUCAUCCUCUCAGACCAGCUACGGAUCGUCGCCUUGGUGAGCCGUUACCUCACCAACCAGCUAAUCCGACAUAGGCUCAUCCGAUAGCACGAGGCCCGAAGGUCCCCCGCUUUCCCCCGUAGGGCGUAUGCGGUAUUAGCCUGGGUUUCCCCAGGUUAUCCCCCACUACCGGGCAGAUUCCUAUGCAUUACUCACCCGUCCGCCGCUCGCCACCAGGGAGCAAGCUCCCCGUGCUGCCGCUCGACUUGCAUGUGUUAGGCCUGCCGCCAGCGUUCAAUCUGAGCCAGAAUCAAACUCUGA